rnacentral:rRNA from 1 species
UACAGAGGUGGCAAGCGUUGUUCGGAAUUACUGGGCGUAAAGGGCGCGUAGGCGGCCAUCUAAGUCAGACGUGAAAUCCCCGGCUUAACCUGGGAACUGCGUCUGAUACUGGGAGGCUUGAGUAUGGGAGAGGGAUGUAGAAUUCCAGGUGUAGCGGUGAAAUGCGUAGAUAUCUGGAGGAAUACCGGUGGCGAAGGCGGCAUCCUGGACCAUUACUGACGCUGAGGCGCGAAAGCUAGGGGAGCAAACGGG